GGAAUUUUGGGCAAUGGGCGAAAGCCUGACCCAGCAAUGCCGCGUGGGUGACGAAGGCCUUCGGGUCGUAAAGCCCUUUUCCCAGGGAAGAUAAUGACGGUACCCUCCGAAUCAGGCCCGGCUAACUACGUGCCAGCAGCCGCGGUAAUACGUAGGGGCCAAGCGUUGUCCGGAAUUACUGGGCGUAAAGCGUGGGUAGGUGGUCGGUGAUGUGCCGCGUGAAAGCGCCGGAGUAACGCCGGCGAGGUCGCGGUAGACACAGCGACUAGAGGCUCGCAGAGGAACGUGGAAUUCCCGGUGUAGUGGUGAAAUGCGUAGAUAUCGGGAGGAACACCAGUGGCGCAAGCGGCGUUCUGGGCGAGACCUGACACUGAGCCACGACGGCGUGGGGAGCAAAC
rnacentral:rRNA from 1 species